rnacentral:lncRNA from 1 species
AAGGAGGUUGCUCAAGGCCAUAUUAGAGAUUAGGGUUACACUUUUGAACCAUUUGAGCUUUUGGAGGCUAAGAUUAGCAGAUUCAAGAUUUUGGCUAUGGUUUUGAUUCAAAUUUUGAGUCAAUUGGAGUUUUUAUGAAGGAGACAUAGGUGUUCAAAGUUGAGGUCUUGAUUUUGUAUCUACUGUUGCUCUUUUGGAUUUAACAAAUGCCUACACAAAGCAACAAGGAAUUAGCAACUGAGGCUGAAGAGAGAACUUAUUUAGCUACAAUUUUGGCAUAUUAUUUGAUCAAUUCUAAAUUGAAAUAAAGGAGAUAUUGGAGGUUGA